rnacentral:lncRNA from 1 species
GCUCGUCAGACUGGUUCUUGCGUCUCUGCAAGCUUGGUUGGGCUCGCUACCAAGAAGAUAUCUGUCAGUUGUCCUCUAGGGCUUAAUCUGGGCUCCUCUGUACCUCCCCCAUCGCGGGCAGGACUGCAGCCCAGCACUCCUCGGUGCCUGAAGACCUUCUGUUGCCAGCGGCACCUCUGCUGCGAUCGAAGAGGAUCCUUGGAGUUCAGCUCUGGGGCUGGGCGAGGAGAUGAGAGCCACCUCCUGGCACGAGUGCAGGGGCACUCAAGCUGUGGCCCUCGUGGACACGUUCCCCAGGCUUGGGCGGGUGGUAGUGCUUGGUGGCUCCUCCUGAGCUUCAUGCCAUCCUCUUGGAAGCGCCCAAAUAACUGCAGCGCCUGCAGAGCCUUGCUGACCUCGGCACUGAGCGUCAGAAUCCCCACCCCACAUGGCAGGGACCUGUUGCCAGCAGGUACAGGUGAGGCAUCGUCACUCUUUC